GACGAACGCUGGCGGCGUGCCUAAUACAUGCAGGUCGAACGAACUCUGGUAUUGAUUGGUGCUUGCAUCAUGAUUUACAUUUGAGUGAGUGGCGAACUGGUGAGUAACACGUGGGAAACCUGCCCAGAAGCGGGGGAUAACACCUGGAAACAGAUGCUAAUACCGCAUAACAACUUGGACCGCAUGGUCCGAGCUUGAAAGAUGGCUUCGGCUAUCACUUUUGGAUGGUCCCGCGGCGUAUUAGCCAGAUGGUGGGGUAACGGCUCACCAUGGCAAUGAUACGUAGCCGACCUGAGAGGGUAAUCGGCCACAUUGGGACUGAGACACGGCCCAAACUCCUACGGGAGGCAGCAGUAGGGAAUCUUCCACAAUGGACGAAAGUCUGAUGGAGCAACGCCGCGUGAGUGAAGAAGGGUUUCGGCUCGUAAAACUCUGUUGUUAAAGAAGAACAUAUCUGAGAGUAACUGUUCAGGUAUUGACGGUAUUUAACCAGAAAGCCACGGCUAACUACGUGCCAGCAGCCGCGGUAAUACGUAGGUGGCAAGCGUUGUCCGGAUUUAUUGGGCGUAAAGCGAGCGCAGGCGGUUUUUUAAGUCUGAUGUGAAAGCCUUCGGCUCAACCGAAGAAGUGCAUCGGAAACUGGGAAACUUGAGUGCAGAAGAGGACAGUGGAACUCCAUGUGUAGCGGUGAAAUGCGUAGAUAUAUGGAAGAACACCAGUGGCGAAGGCGGCUGUCUGGUCUGUAACUGACGCUGAGGCUCGAAAGUAUGGGUAGCAAACAGGAUUAGAUACCCUGGUAGUCCAUACCGUAAACGAUGAAUGCUAAAGGGUUGGAGGGUUCCGCCCUUCAGUGCUGCAGCUAACGCAUUAAGCAUUCCGCCUGGGGAGUACGGCCGCAAGGUGGAAACUCAAAGGAAUUGACGGGGGCCCGCACAAGCGGUGGAGCAUGUGGUUUAAUUCGAAGCUACGCGACGAACCUUACCAGGUCUUGACAUACUAUGCAAAUCUAAGAGAUUAGACGUUCCCUUCGGGGACAUGGAUACAGGUGGUGCAUGGUUGUCGUCAGCUCGUGUCGUGAGAUGUUGGGUUAAGUCCCGCAACGAGCGCAACCCUUAUUAUCAGUUGCCAGCAUUAAGUUGGGCACUCUGGUGAGACUGCCGGUGACAAACCGGAGGAAGGUGGGGAUGACGUCAAAUCAUCAUGCCCCUUAUGACCUGGGCUACACACGUGCUACAAUGGAUGGUACAACGAGUUGCGAACUCGCGAGAGUAAGCUAAUCUCUUAAAGCCAUCCUCAGUUCGGAUUGUAGGCUGCAACUCGCCUACAUGAAGUCGGAAUCGCUAGUAAUCGCGGAUCAGCAUGCCGCGGUGAAUACGUCCCCGGGCCUUGUACACACCGCCCGUCACACCAUGAGAGUUUGUAACACCCAAAGUCGGUGGGGUAACCUUUUAGGAACCAGCCGCCUAAGGUGGGACAGAUGAUUAGGGUG
rnacentral:rRNA from 1 species